AACGAACGCUGGCGGCAUGCCUAACACAUGCAAGUCGAACGGGAACUUCGGGUCUAGUGGCGCACGGGUACGUACCGAGGGGGGACCAACCCUUGGGUUCGGUAUCCCUCCCCGAAAGGGGUGCUCAUAAAGGUUAGUGUAUUCGGACAUAAGACUUAUCGCCUUUGGAUGGGCCCGCGUUGGAUUCGCUAGUUGGUAGUGUACAAGCCUAGCAAGGCGACGUUCCAUAGCUGGUCUGAGAGGAUGAUCAGCCACAAUGGGACUGAGGCACGGCCCAGACUCCUACGGGAGGGAGCAGAGGGGAAUAUUGUAGAAGGGGCGAAAGCCUGAUACAGCAAUGCCGCGUGAGUGAUGAAGGCCGUAGUGUUGUAAAGCUCUUUUACCCGGGAUGAGAAUGACAGUACCGGGAGAAUAAGCUCCGGCUAACUCCGUG
rnacentral:rRNA from 1 species